GCCGGCCUAGCUCAACUGGUAGAGCAACUGACUUGUAAUCAGUAGGUUGGGGGUUCAAGUCCUCUGGCCGGCACCU
rnacentral:tRNA from 3 species